rnacentral:rRNA from 1 species
AUGAACGCUGGCGGCGUGCCUCACACAUGCAAGUCGAACGGAGUCCAGCCUUUCAGCCCUUCGGGUCACAGAGGGGAAGACUGAGUGGCGGACGGGUGAGUAACACGUGGGCAACCUGGCUCAUAGAGGGGGAUAACAGAGAGAAAUUUCUGCUAAUACCGCAUAAGCACACCCUGCCGCAUGGCAGAGGGUGAAAAGAGAAUCGCUAUGAGAUGGACCCGCGUCUGAUUAGCCAGUUGGCAGGGUAAGAGCCUACCAAAGCGACGAUCAGUAGCCGAUCUGAGAGGAUGAACGGCCACAUUGGGACUGAGACACGGCCCAAACUCCUACGGGAGGCAGCAGUGGGGGAUAUUGCACAAUGGGGGGAACCCUGAUGCAGCGACGCCGCGUGAGUGAAGAAGUAUUUCGGUAUGUAAAGCUCUAUCAGCAGGGAAGAUAAUGACAGUACCUGAAGAAGAAGCCCCAGCUAACUACGUG